rnacentral:rRNA from 1 species
GCUACACAUGCAGUCGAACGGUACGCGAGGAGCUUGCUCCUUGGCGACGAGUGGCGGACGGGUGAGUAACACUUGGGAAUCUGCCCUGUAGUGGGGGACAACACGGGGAAACUCGUGCUAAUACCGCAUACGUCCUACGGGAGAAAGUGGGGGAUCUUCGGACCUCACGCUAUUGGAUGAGCCCAAGUCGGAUUAGCUUGUUGGUAGGGUAAAGGCCUACCAAGGCGACGAUCCGUAGCUGGUCUGAGAGGACGAUCAGCCACACUGGGACUGAGACACGGCCCAGACUCCUACGGGAGGCAGCAGUGGGGAAUAUUGGACAAUGGGGGCAACCCUGAUCCAGCAAUGCCGCGUGUGUGAAGAAGGCCUGCGGGUUGUAAAGCACUUUCAGUAGAGAAGAAAAAAACCCAGGGUUAAUACCUCUGGGUCUUGACGUAACCUACAGAAGAAGCACCGGCUAACUCCGUGCCAGCAGCCGCGGUAAUACGGAGGGUGCGAGCGUUAAUCGGAAUUACUGGGCGUAAAGCGCGCGUAGGCGGUUGGAUUAGUCGGAUGUGAAAGCCCAGGGCUUAACCUUGGAAUUGCACUCGAAACUGUCCAGCUAGAGUAUGGGAGAGGGAAGCGGAAUUUCCGGUGUAGCGGUGAAAUGCGUAGAUAUCGGAAGGAACACCAGUGGCGAAGGCGGCUUCCUGGACCAAUACUGACGCUCAGGUGCGAAAGCGUGGGGAGCGAACAGGAUUAGAUACCCUGGUAGUCCACGCCGUAAACGAUGAGAACUAGAUGUUGGGAGGAUUUGCCUUUCAGUGUCGCAGCUAACGCAUUAAGUUCUCCGCCUGGGGAGUACGCCGGCAACGGUAAAACUCAAAAGGAAUUGACGGGGACCCGCACAAGCGGUGGAGCAUGUGGUUUUAAUUCCGAUGCAACCGCGAAAGAACCUUACCCUGGCCCUUGAACAU